AGAAUAUGAAGAUUUUUUGUUGGAACAAAAUCAGAGGAAAAUUGUUGCAAAUUUGACUUUUAAAAUUUUAGAAUUAAAAGAAAUGCUCUUUGAUGAUAUUAUUUGUGAUAAUGGUCAUACAAGUGAAAGUAUAAGCAAACUGAUAAUUUGGAUAUCAACAAAUAUCAUGCUCAAGAAUCUUUGCAAUAGGAAAAAUGACGAUAUUAAGUCCAAUAAAGAAAAAAAAAGAAAACUUCAGACACUUGCAAAGUAACAUUGAUGCUGUCUUUAAAAGUAAUUUUUAAAGUUCUCUCAAACUGCAUCUUUGCUAAAUAUCUACGUGUCAUCUUUGGUGAGCAGCUGAGAUUUAAGAAGCAUGUAUUCAUAACGAAGAAAGGAGUGUUUUUAUCAUGAAAUGGCUCUCAGGUGUAAAAAUGCAUAGGAUAUAUCUUAGUUUAUUGAAGUUAAGAAUUGGUGCUUUGUGGACUAAAAAAAUAUGUGCAAUAUCCAUUGUCACACCACUCUGUUCAAGAAUAUCGAUCAGUCCUGAAUGAUAAAGAAAAUGAUUAACAAAGGAAUAUCUAGAACUUGAUUGUGUGCAUGAUUUAAUUCCAAAUAUAAGUAUUGGAAUAAUUCAUCCUCCUUAUUUUCAACAAAAACUCUUCAUUUGGUAAUAUACAUUUGUGCUUAUCAGUGUGGUGUCUUGUGUAACAAAUCGUCAGUAUUAUAAAAUAGAUGGAAAGAUCUUUGAUUAUUGCAAGAGCUUUAUGUGCU